AAACGAUGCAUGCGCCCGCCGUCCUCUUGUCGACCCGCAGUAGGGGCCUCGGCCCCCAAGGGCACGUGUCAUUGGCUAAGCCGCCGCGGCGGAAGGGUCGCAGUGGCUGCCUUGAAGUACAAUUUCCAUCGAGCGGCGGGCAGAAUCCUUUGUAGACAACUUGAAUACGCGACGGCGUAUUGUAAGUGGCAGAGUGGCCUUGCUGCCACGAUCCACUGAGAUUCAGCCCUUUGUCGCUCCGGUUCGUCCCUCCCCAUCCAAUCUAGCCACCUUGCCGCCCGUCUCCAAAGGAGGUUCAUGCAUUCGUCCUUGAAAAAUCCCACCAAGUGCUGCGAGCUCACCUCACCCGAGUUAGCCAAGCGUCGCGUGCGUUCCAUUCCAAAUAGUUAAGAAUACGAUAUCAAGUGGCCUUUCGGGAAAAACAACGGCAUCACAACUGGAGGAUUUUCGCAAUUCGAAGUGCGGCAUAAGUGCUCAGCAAAGCGCCGAGAACAACGUCGGUGCCACCGGAGGGCAAGUCUGGUGCCAGUAGCCGCGGUAAUUCCAGCUCCAAUAGCGUAUAUUUAAGUUGUUGCAGUUUAAAAACUCAUAGUUGGACUUUGGGAUGGGCCGGCCGGUCGCCUAUGGUGUGCACCGAUCGUCUCGUCCCUUCUAUCGGCGAUGCGCUCCUGGCCUUAACUGGCCGGGUCGUGCCUCCGGCGCUGUUACUUUGAAGAAAUUAGAGUGCUCAAAGAAAGCCUACGCUCUGUAUACAUUAGCAUGGGAUAACAUUAUACGAUUUCGGUCCUAAUAUGUUGGCCUUCGGGAUCGGAGUAAUGAUUAACAGGGACAGUCGGGGGCAUUCGUAUUUCAUAGUCAGAGGUGAAAUUCUUGGAUUUAUUAAAGACGAACAACUACGAAAGCAUUUGCCAAGGAUGUUUUCAUUAAUCAAGAACGAAAGUUGGGGGCUCGAAGGCGAUCAGAUACCGUCCUAGUCUCAACCAUAAACGAUGCCGACCAGGGAUCAGCGGAUGUUGCUUUUAGGACUCCACCGGCACCUUAUGAGAAAUCAAAGUUUUUGGGUUUCGGUGGGAGUAUGGUCGCAAGGCUGAAACUUAAAGGAAUUGACGGAAGGGCACCACCAGGAGUGGAGCCUGCGGCUUAAUUUGACUCAAUACGGGGAAACUUACCAGGUCCAGACAUAGUAAGGAUUGACAGACUGAGAGCUCUUUCUUGAUUCUAUGGGUGGUGGUGCAUGGCUGUUCUUAGUUGGUGGAGCGAUUUGUAUGGUUAAUUCCGUUAACGAACGAGACCUCAGCCUGCUAACUAACUAUGCGGAGGUAUCCCUUCGCGGCCAACUUCUUAGAGGGACUACGGCCUUUUAGGCCACGGAAGUUUGAGGCAAUAACAGGUCUGUGCUACCCUUAAAUGUUCUGGGCCGCACGUGCACUACACUGAUGUAUUCAACGAGUUUAAAGCCCUGGCCGACAGGCUCGGGUAAUCUUUGAAAUUUCACCAUGAUGGGGAUAGAUCAUUGAAAUUGUUGUGCGUCAACGAGGAAUUCCUAGUAAGCGCGAGUCAUUAGCUCGCGCUGACUACGUCCCUGCCCUUUGUACAUACCGCCCACCGCUCCUACCGAUAAGAUGAUCCGGUGAAAUGUUCGAAUCGCGUCGAUGUGGGCGGUUCGCUGCCCGCGACAUCGCGAGAAGUCCAUUGAACCUUAUCAUUUAGAGGAAGAAGAAGUUGUAACAAUGUUUCCGUAGGUGAACCUGCGGAAG
rnacentral:rRNA from 1 species